rnacentral:pre_miRNA from 14 species
CAGGGCCUUGGCUGGGAUAUCAUCAUAUACUGUAAGUUUGUGAUGAGACACUACAGUAUAGAUGAUGUACUAGUCUGGGUACCCC